GAUGAACGCUGGCGGCGUGCCUAAUACAUGCAAGUAGAACGCUGAAGGAGGAGCUUGCUCUUCUGGAUGAGUUGCGAACGGGUGAGUAACGCGUAGGUAACCUGCCUGGUAGCGGGGGAUAACUAUUGGAAACGAUAGCUAAUACCGCAUGACAACAGUUAUUGCAUGAUAACUGUUUAAAAGGGGCAACUGCUCCACUACCAGAUGGACCUGCGUUGUAUUAGCUAGUUGGUGAGGUAACGGCUCACCAAGGCGACGAUACAUAGCCGACCUGAGAGGGUGAUCGGCCACACUGGGACGGAGACACGGCCCAGACUCCUACAGGAGGCAGCAGUAGGGAAUCUUCGGCAAUGGACGGAAGUCUGACCGAGCAACGCCGCGUGAGUGAAGAAGGUUGUCGGAUCGUAAAGCUCUGUUGUAAGAGAAGAACGAGUGUGAGAGUGGAAAGUUCACACUGUGACGGUAUCUUACCAGAAAGGGACGGCUAACUACGUG
rnacentral:rRNA from 1 species